CCGUUUAGGGGUAAACCUGAGAAACCCGAAAGGUCGAAGGGAGAAAUUCAUUCGCGUUUCGCCGUUGGCGUGAGAUGGUCGUGUGACGGAAAACGUUCGCGUUUUCCGCGCCUUCCGUUUUUCGAUCCGAUAGCGAACGCGUGCACUUUUCUCCUGGUAGGACGUCGCGAUCCGUUGAGUGUCGGUCUACGGCUCGUGGUGGAGCCCGUACGUACGGCUUCGGUCGUCACGUACGGACCCACGUGUCCCGGCUGACUCGCUCGACGGUAUACGAAAGGUUUAAGGCCGCUCUUUCGAGCGUUCGACUCGUCGCAAGCGCGUCAGAUGUUUGUCGGUGAUCGGACCUAGUGCCGGUUCUGACCUCUGACGACUGUUGGUGACGAAGUUCUCGAACAGACUUUUGACCGAUCUGCGACGCUAUAGCUUUGGGUACUUUCAGGACCCGUCUUGAAACACGGACCAAGGAGUCUAGCAUGUGCGCGAGUCAUUGGGAAUCACUAAACCUAAAGGCGCAAUGAAAGUAAAAGUUCGCCUCGCGCGAACUGAGGGAGGACGAGCGAUUCGCCCUUAAAAGCGAUCGCUCCGCACUCCCGGGGCGUCUCGUUCUCAUCGCGAGAAGAGGCGCACCAAGAGCGUACACGCUGGGACCCGAAAGAUGGUGAACUAUGCCUGGUCAGGACGAAGUCAGGGGAAACCCUGAUGGAGGUCCGUAGCGAUUCUGACGUGCAAAUCGAUCGUCGGAACUGGGUAUAGGGGCGAAAGACUAAUCGAACCAUCUAGUA
rnacentral:rRNA from 1 species